CCUGAAAAAACUGUAGUGAACAAGUCACCAGUCGAAGAUGAGCGUCUCCGAUUUGCCACGCAAUGAAUCAAACACCUUAAAAGGCCACGAAGGAGCAGUUUUAGCCGCACGAUUCAACGCCGACGGUAAUUAUUGUCUCAGCUGCGGCAAAGACCGCACCAUCCGCCUCUGGAACCCUCACCGUGGCCUCCACAUCAAAACCUACAAAUCUCACGGCCGUGAAGUCCGUGAUGUCCACGUCACUUCGGACAACUCAAAGUUAGUAUCUUGCGGUGGUGAUCGGCAAGUUUUUUACUGGGAUGUAGCAACUGGUCGUGUUAUUCGAAAAUUUCGUGGCCAUGAUAGCGAGGUGAAUGCUGUUAAGUUUAAUGAGUAUUCCUCCGUUGUAGUAUCAGCCGGGUAUGACCAGUCUUUACGUACUUGGGACUGUAGGUCUCAUAGUACUGAGCCUAUUCAGGUAAUUGAUGCAUUUCAAGAUAGUGUUAUGUCUGUUUGUUUGACGAAAACUGAAAUUAUUGGUGGAAGUGUUGAUGGGACGGUUAGAACAUUUGAUAUUCGUAUUGGUAGAGAAAUAGUUGAUGACUUAGGACAGCCUGUCAAUUGUAUUUCUAUGUCGAAUGACGGCAAUUGCUUAUUAGCAAGUUGCCUAGAUUCUACUUUGCGCCUUUUGGACAGGUCAACUAGUGAACUGUUGCAAGAAUACAAAGGCCACACUUGUAAGUCGUACAAAUUGGAUUGCUGCCUUACCAACACGGAUGCUUAUGUGGCUGGUGGAUCUGAGGAUGGCUAUGUUUACUUCUGGGAUCUUGUGGAUGCCACUGUGGUGUCUAGUUUCCGUGCUCAUUCUUCCGUGGUUACAAGUGUGAGUUACCACCCAAAGGACAACUGUAUGAUAACGGCCUCAGUUGAUGGCACCAUUCGGGUAUGGAAGACUUAACAACAAAAGCAAACAAAGCCUUCUUCAUGUCAGCCUUGCAGUUCCAAACAAACCUUGGGUGUUAAUACACUACAACAGGGACGGAACUACCCUAAGGUUAGGGCAAGCUUCAGUCUAGGCUGACGUUGGAAAUUUUAAAAAAAUAGAGGUAGGAUUUGUUGUGAUCUCAGGGUUAGAGGGAGGCUAAGCCCGGGCAGCCGGGAGGUCAAAAGUAAACUAGAAGUUAAACCUGGGCUGAAAAAAAUUCUGGAUCCGCCACCGUCUACAACUGUCACAUGGUAGUUUUCAUAAACCUUGUUUUGAAAACUUGAGAAGGCAGAAGACAGUAGGAAACAAUAUGCAAAGUCAUGACUCUUAUAUAGCAAGUCAUUUUUGUUUGUCUUUGUUGCGUGUACACGAGUUCAAUCUUUAGGCUGUGUGGUUAUUGUCUUUACUCUUUACAAAAUGCUCAUAAUUAUGAGAAUGAUUCAGAUGCUGAUGUUAGCAUUUAGUUUUUUA